AGAGGUGUAGCAUAGUUGUUAAAAUGUUUGUUUAGUAUUUAAAAGGUCAGGAGUUCGAUCCCCUAUGUCUUUA